UACGGGGGGUGCGAGCGUUGUCCGGAAUCACUGGGCGUAAAGGGCGCGUAGGUGGCGUCGUAAGUCUGAUGUGAAAUCCCCGGGCUCAACCUGGGAACGGCAUUGGAUACUGGCUCGCUAGAGUGCGGUAGAGGGUGGUGGAAUUCCCGGUGUAGCAGUGAAAUGCGUAGAGAUCGGGAGGAACAUCUGUGGCGAAGGCGGCCGCGUGGACCAGCACUGACACUGAGGCACGAAAGCGUGGGGAGCAAACAGG
rnacentral:rRNA from 1 species